CUGUAUGAAGGAAUAUGAAGACAGAACACUCCACAGGCUUUUUCAAUAGGAAAGUCCCCAGGAAGUUCCAUUUGUAGGUAUUUUCAUAUGAACUUGAUGGGUUGGCAGUUUUCAAGGCUGUUUCAAAGGCUUUGGAUAAUUAGACUACUCUUUUAUUCCAAUAGAGAGACUAAUCUGGUUCAGACUAUUUUCAUUUUAAUGUCUACCCCUAGUCAAUUCUGCUUUUUAAUAUGCAUUUUUCAUAAAUGCCUCAGAAAUGAGUGCUGUCUCUGAAUCACUAAAGCCAAUUACAUCAAUUUAUCAUAAAAUGUUCUAAAAUGCAUCUCUUCUCUUACAGAAACACAAAGGAACAUAUCCCAAAUGUAUAGUAUAAAAGGCUCUCCCAUAGUGGAAUUGCUUAGAAUUAAGAGCUACAUAAAUUGAAUUUCAAAUCAAAUGGGCCUAUUAGUAUAAUAAUUGUUCAAAAUGGGAUUCUAGGUCUC
rnacentral:lncRNA from 1 species